CUACGGGAGGCUGCAGUGGGGAAUAUUGCACAAUGGGGGAAACCCUGAUGCAGCAACGCCGCGUGAGUGAUGACGGUCUUCGGAUUGUAAAGCUCUGUCUUCAGGGACGAUAAUGACGGUACCUGAGGAGGAAGCCACGGCUAACUACGUGCCAGCAGCCGCGGUAAUACGUAGGUGGCAAGCGUUGUCCGGAUUUACUGGGCGUAAAGGGAGCGUAGGUGGAUAUUUAAGUGGGAUGUGAAAUACUCGGGCUUAACCUGGGUGCUGCAUUCCAAACUGGAUAUCUAGAGUGCAGGAGAGGAAAGUAGAAUUCCUAGUGUAGCGGUGAAAUGCGUAGAGAUUAGGAAGAAUACCAGUGGCGAAGGCGACUUUCUGGACUGUAACUGACACUGAGGCUCGAAAGCGUGGGGAGCAAACAGGAUUAGAUACCCGCGUAGUC
rnacentral:rRNA from 1 species